UACGAAGGGGGCUAGCGUUGUUCGGAUUUACUGGGCGUAAAGCGCACGUAGGCGGAUCGUUAAGUCGGGGGGUGAAAUCCUGGAGCUCAACUCCAGAACUGCCUUCGAUACUGGCGAUCUUGAGUCCGGAAGAGGUGAGUGGAACUCCUAGUGUAGAGGUGGAAUUCGUAGAUAUUAGGAAGAACACCAGUGGCGAAGGCGCUCACUGGUCCGGUACUGACGCUGAGGUGCGAAAGCGUGGGGAGCAAACAGG
rnacentral:rRNA from 1 species